UUCCACCUCUCCAAGAGUCAGAGGUUGUUUGCUACUUUCAACUGAAACGCAUCUCACCCCGCGGAUUGGCGUCAAUCUAUUUUAAGAAGAUAUGAAUAUUUAAUCUGAAUCACCUUUGUUUCGUCUUCCACCUCUAAAAUAGUCACAGGAAUGGACGUCGUGUACAGCUUUAAGAUGAUUCUUCAUCAACAACAACACCAGGAUGCAUUGAGGACCUGCUGGGUUUUCAGCAUG